rnacentral:RNase_P_RNA from 1 species
UUUGGCUAUCGGUUCUUCGUGAACUGAGGAAAGUCCACCCACCAUAAAAGGUCUAUUUCGUAAGAAAUCUUCAGAAAUGGAGGGCUCUUGAACAGAAACGAUACCUUUUCAAGUUAAAGAGGAUUCAGGAAUGAUGAUAUUUCUUGAAAAAGGAUGAAACGUCGAGCUUAUUCAACUCGAAAUUCAAGCUUGCUUGAAUUGCAAUCCAGACUGGUGCAAGUCAGUAGACGCUAAGUAUAAUGCCAAAAGUUUCAUAAG